CCCUCGUUCGCUCAGUUGGUAGAGCGCUCCACCUGUAAUGGAGAGGUCCCGGGUUCGAUACCCGGACCAGGCG
rnacentral:tRNA from 1 species